rnacentral:pre_miRNA from 1 species
CAAAUACUCCCUCCGUCCAAAAUUCUUGUCUUAGAUUUGUCUAGAUACGGAUGUAUCUAAUACUAAAAUGUGACUUGAUACAUCCGUAUUUAGACAAAUCUAAGACAAGAAUUUUGGGAUGGAGAGAGUAUUAC